rnacentral:rRNA from 1 species
UACGUAGGGGGCAAGCGUUGUCCGGAUUUAUUGGGCGUAAAGAGCGUGUAGGCGGCUUUACAGGUCCGUUGUGAAAACUCGAGGCUCAACCUCGAGACGCCGGUGGAAACCGUAAGGCUAGAGUCCGGAAGAGGAGAGUGGAAUUCCUGGUGUAGCGGUGAAAUGCGCAGAUAUCAGGAGGAACCCCCGUGGCGAAAGCGGCUCUCUGGGACGGUACUGACGCUGAGACGCGAAAGCGUGGGGAGCAAACAGG